AAUACAUGCAAGUCGAGCGAGCUUGCCUAGAUGAAUUUGGUGCUUGCACCAGAUGAAACUAGAUACAAGCGAGCGGCGGACGGGUGAGUAACACGUGGGUAACCUGCCCAAGAGACUGGGAUAACACCUGGAAACAGAUGCUAAUACCGGAUAACAACACUAGACGCAUGUCUAGAGUUUAAAAGAUGGUUCUGCUAUCACUCUUGGAUGGACCUGCGGUGCAUUAGCUAGUUGGUAAGGUAACGGCUUACCAAGGCAAUGAUGCAUAGCCGAGUUGAGAGACUGAUCGGCCACAUUGGGACUGAGACACGGCCCAAACUCCUACGGGAGGCAGCAGUAGGGAAUCUUCCACAAUGGACGCAAGUCUGAUGGAGCAACGCCGCGUGAGUGAAGAAGGGUUUCGGCUCGUAAAGCUCUGUUGGUAGUGAAGAAAGAUAGAGGUAGUAACUGGCCUUUAUUUGACGGUAAUUACUUAGAAAGUCACGGCUAACUACGUGCCAGCAGCCGCGGUAAUACGUAGGUGGCAAGCGUUGUCCGGAUUUAUUGGGCGUAAAGCGAGUGCAGGCGGUUCAAUAAGUCUGAUGUGAAAGCCUUCGGCUCAACCGGAGAAUUGCAUCAGAAACUGUUGAACUUGAGUGCAGAAGAGGAGAGUGGAACUCCAUGUGUAGCGGUGGAAUGCGUAGAUAUAUGGAAGAACACCAGUGGCGAAGGCGGCUCUCUGGUCUGCAACUGACGCU
rnacentral:rRNA from 1 species